CGAAUCCUCCUUUGGCCACGACUGCCGACACAAGCAAGAAAACAAAGUAAAUACCGGAGACUCUGGAGGAAUAACGGGCGCUUAAAACGGAGGUAGACCGGACAAGAGCUAAAAAGCCGGGUCAACAUAAACGAUGGGGGACGCUUGGGGAUCUUGGUGACCCUGUAACCUUUCUGCUGGACAGGUAAACCGCUUUAACAAAGUAAGACAAGUGUCUGUAACAGAAGUGUUUCUUGUCAAACGGACCUGCUGUAGCGUGUUGUAGC